AUACGUAGGGGGCGAGCGUUGUCCGGAAUGAUUGGGCGUAAAGGGCGCGUAGGCGGCCCGGUAAGUCUGGAGUGAAAGUCCUGUUUUUAAGAUGGGAAUUGCUUUGGAUACUGUCGGGCUUGAGUGCAGGAGAGGUAAGUGGAAUUCCCAGUGUAGCGGUGAAAUGCGUAGAGAUUGGGAGGAACACCAGUGGCGAAGGCGAAUUACUAGACUGUAACUGACGCUGAGGCGCGAAAGUGUGGGGAGCAAACAGGAUUAGAUACCCUGGUAGUCCACACUGUAAACGAUGAAUGCUAGGUGUAAGAGGUAUCGACCCCUUUUGUGCCGGAGUCAACACAAUAAGCAUUCCGCCUGGGGAGUAAGGCCGCAAGGUUGAAACUCAAAGGAAUUGACGGGG
rnacentral:rRNA from 1 species